UGAAAUUUCUAUAUUUACAUAUAGGUCCUCCAAUUUACAUAUAAAUCCUUAUUAAUAAAUUUUCAAAAGUGAGGGAUAUUAUACUCUCCCCCCUUAAAAGAAAAUUUAGUCCUCUAAAUUGGUCAUAGCUCAAUUGAUGAAAAGAUGAGGAUUAUGUUUUCUUUAUUUCCUCUUCCUACUCUCAAAUAGUUUCAUCAAUACAAUACAAUUACAUAAUUAUCCAAGAGUGAUCGAAAUAUUCUCCUCCUUGAUCCUCAAUAGAUGGU
rnacentral:lncRNA from 1 species